CUCGGAUGAACAGAGGCAAUCACCCGCCACGUACUAUUUCAGUUCAGAGGCUGUCGUCGACAGGACUGUACUUAUCCUACAGUCUGAUGGCUGGCAUUCUAACCUGUGCAGGACUCCAGGCUUCAGGGACAAACACAACCAGUGGAAAGUCAAACAUAGAAAUCUCUAAUCUGUGGAAGGUGCUAAUGAAAAAAGACACAUUCUUGGGGGAGGAGAGAUUGCUGAACUAAAUGCCUAGGAAAUCCAGACCUACACUGUCACUCAACAAGAGCAAACUGCAGUUGUCCUGGGGUGAAGAUUCUGCAGCUUAUUUCAAGGAAACCCCAGUGAGACCCUCUUAUAUGAUCUCAACACACCAGC
rnacentral:lncRNA from 1 species